GCUUGCUUCUCUUGAGAGCGGCGGACGGGUGAGUAAUGCCUAGGAAUCUGCCUGGUAGUGGGGGAUAACGUUCGGAAACGGACGCUAAUACCGCAUACGUCCUACGGGAGAAAGCAGGGGACCUUCGGGCCUUGCGCUAUCAGAUGAGCCUAGGUCGGAUUAGCUAGUUGGUGAGGUAAUGGCUCACCAAGGCGACGAUCCGUAACUGGUCUGAGAGGAUGAUCAGUCACACUGGAACUGAGACACGGUCCAGACUCCUACGGGAGGCAGCAGUGGGGAAUAUUGGACAAUGGGCGAAAGCCUGAUCCAGCCAUGCCGCGUGUGUGAAGAAGGUCUUCGGAUUGUAAAGCACUUUAAGUUGGGAGGAAGGGUUGUAGAUUAAUACUCUGCAAUUUUGACGUUACCGACAGAAUAAGCACCGGCUAACUCUGUGCCAGCAGCCGCGGUAAUACAGAGGGUGCAAGCGUUAAUCGGAAUUACUGGGCGUAAAGCGCGCGUAGGUGGUUUGUUAAGUUGGAUGUGAAAUCCCCGGGCUCAACCUGGGAACUGCAUUCAAAACUGACUGACUAGAGUAUGGUAGAGGGUGGUGGAAUUUCCUGUGUAGCGGUGAAAUGCGUAGAUAUAGGAAGGAACACCAGUGGCGAAGGCGACCACCUGGACUAAUACUGACACUGAGGUGCGAAAGCGUGGGGAGCAAACAGGAUUAGAUACCCUGGUAGUCCACGCCGUAAA
rnacentral:rRNA from 1 species